GGAUGAGUUGCGAACGGGUGAGUAACGCGUAGGUAACCUGCCUGGUAGCGGGGGAUAACUAUUGGAAACGAUAGCUAAUACCGCAUAACAGUAGAUAUUGCAUGAUAUCUGCUUGAAAGGGGCAAUUGCUCCACUACCAAAUGGACCUGCGUUGUAUUAGCUAGUUGGUGAGGUAACGGCUCACCAAGGCGACGAUACAUAGCCGACCUGAGAGGGUGAUCGGCCACACUGGGACUGAGACACGGCCCAGACUCCUACGGGAGGCAGCAGUAGGGAAUCUUCGGCAAUGGACGGAAGUCUGACCGAGCAACGCCGCGUGAGUGAAGAAGGUUUUCGGAUCGUAAAGCUCUGUUGUAAGAGAAGAACGAGUGUGAGAGUGGAAAGUUCACACUGUGACGGUAACUUACCAGAAAGGGACGGCUAACUACGUGCCAGCAGCCGCGGUAAUACGUAGGUCCCGAGCGUUAUCCGGAUUUAUUGGGCGUAAAGCGAGCGCAGGCGGUUAGAUAAGUCUGAAGUUAAAGGCUGUGGCUUAACCAUAGUACGCUUUGGAAACUGUUUAACUUGAGUGCAGAAGGGGAGAGUGGAAUUCCAUGUGUAGCGGUGAAAUGCGUAGAUAUAUGGAGGAA
rnacentral:rRNA from 1 species